CCACACCAGUGGACGACGAUUGCUGAAAAAGCGACCACCGUCCACCACCACCGACAGCCGUCACCAUGUCCGUCAAAGAGUGCACCCACCACAAAAACAAGAGCAAAAAACUCUUCCGGAAACUCUUCGCCGGAUUCCUCAUCCUCGCCUUCCUCGUCCUCCUCACUUUCCUCAUCACAUGGGCAAUCCUUCAACCCCGAAAACCCAGAUUCACUCUCCAAGACGCCACCAUCUACUCCUUCAACGUCUCCGCCCCUAUCCUCCUCUCCUCCAACUUUCAGGUCACCAUCUCCUCCCAUAACCCCAACGACAGAAUCGGAGUUUACUACGAUAAACUCGACGUCUUCGCGUCUUACAAAAACCAGCAAAUCACUUACUUCACCGCCAUCCAGCCGGUGUACCAGGGCCACAAAGACAACAACGUCUGGUCGCCGUUUGUGUACGGAACCAAC
rnacentral:lncRNA from 1 species